AUGGAUACGAAUAUGGCCACACCUCGUCUUCUCCGCUUCAUCCUAGACCUGCAAAUAAGAAGAAAAGAGAAACGAGGGCAAUGUAGAGACUGCCGACUGGUCCUUCCAUAAUGUCUGUAUAGUUCCAUACAUCAUACUUACUAUACCAAGAUAUGACAAAACUAAUAAGAUGAAAAAUUUUAGCAUCUCUGUGUUAUUUUCCAUGCUUUAGCAUGUGUACAUUAGCAUCUCGUAUAUCUUAUCUACGGUUUAUUUUAUUCUUAACUUUUGCUAAAAAAGUCAGAUACAUGUGCGUAGAUACAAAAUUUUUCAAAUUGAUGGUUUCUCAUACCAGAAACCGUAGGGUUUAAAUCGAAAAUAUAGAUGGUUAGGAUAGACCUAACAAAAUCAUCAAAACAAUACGUGUUACUUCGAAGUUUUAGCAUGAGAAAUUACGUACCCGAUUUGAAGGGGGUUUGGAUGCAGUCUUGGUUAACCUCGAGAUUCCAAACCGGCAAAGAAUAAAAAGACAAAUCUAGAGAUUACCUUGAGAAAAACGAGGCGUGGUCCGUUGACGGUCCCACGGAUGGCGCCAAUGAAGAAGCAUGUCCCGAACGGGUCGGUACUUCUACGGUGAU
rnacentral:lncRNA from 1 species